GUUUCCGUAGUGUAGUGGUUAUCACGUUUGCUUUACACGCAGAAGGUCCCCAGUUCGAACCUGGGCGGAAACA
rnacentral:tRNA from 2 species